GAUGAAGAACGCAGCAAAAUGCGAUAAGUAAUGUGAAUUGCAGAAUUCAGUGAAUCAUCGAAUCUUUGAACGCACAUUGCGCCCGCUGGUAUUCCGGCGGGCAUGCCUGUUCGAGCGUCAUUUCAACCCUCAAGCCCCCGGGUUUGGUGUUGGGGAUCGGCUCUGCCCUUCUGGGCGGUGCCGCCCCCGAAAUACAUUGGCGGUCUCGCUGCAGCCUCCAUUGCGUAGUAGCUAACACCUCGCAACUGGAACGCGGCGCGGCCAUGCCGUAAAACCCCAACUUCUGAAUGUUGACCUCGGAUCAGGUAGGAAUACCCGCUGAACUUAAGCAUAUCAGUAAGCGGAGGA
rnacentral:misc_RNA from 1 species